rnacentral:rRNA from 1 species
GACGUAGGGUCCUAGCGUUGUUCGGAAUCACUGGGCGUAAAGCGCAUGUAGGCGGCUUGAUAAGUCAGAUGUGAAAUCCUGCGGCUUAACUGUAGAAUUGCAUUUGAAACUAUUGAGCUUGAGUAUGACAGGGGAUGGUAGAAUUCCUGGUGUAGUGGUGAAAUGCGUAGAUAUCAGGAGGAACACCGGCGGCGAAGGCGGCCAUCUGGGUCUAUACUGACGCUGAGAUGCGAAAGUGCGGGGAUCAAACAGG